GAACGCUGGCGGGCAUGCCUUACACAUGCAAGUCGAACGGCAGCACGGGUGCUUGCACCUGGUGGCGAGUGGCGAACGGGUGAGUAAUACAUCGAACAUGUCCUGUAGUGGGGGAUAGCCCGGCGAAAGCCGGGAUUAAUACCGCAUACGAUCUUAGCGGAUGAAAAGCGGGGGACCUUCCGGGCCUCCGCGCUAUAGGGUUGGCCGAUGGCUGAUUAGCUAGUUGGUGGGGUAAAGGCCCACCAAGGCGACGAUCAGUAGCUGGUCUGAGAGGACGACCAGCCACACUGGGACUGAGACACGGCCCAGACUCAUCGGGAGGCAGCAGUUGGGGAAUUUUGGACAAUGGGCGAAAGCCUGAUCCAGCAAUGCCGCGUUGGUGUGAAGAAAGGCCUUCGGGUGUAAAGCACUUUUGUCCCGGAAAGAAAUCCUGAGGGCUAAUAUCCUUCGGGGAGACGGUACCGGAAGAAUAAGCACCGGCUAACUACGUGCCAGCAGCCGCGGUAAUACGUAGGGUGCGAGCGUUUAAUCGGAAUUCUGGGCGUAAAGCGUGCGCAGGCGGUUUGUUAAGACCGAUGUGAAAUCCCGGGCUUAAACCUGGGACUGCAUUGGUGACCUGGCAAGCUAGAGUAUGGCAGAGGGGGGUAGAAUUCACGUGUAGCAGUGAAAUGCGUAGAGAUGUGGAGGAAUACCGAUGGCGAAGGCAGCCCCCUGGGCCAAUACUGACGCUAUGCACGAAAGCGGUGGGGAGCAAACAGGAAUUAGAAUACCCUGGUAGUCCACGCCCUAAACGAUGUCAACCUAGUUGUUGGGGAUUCAUUUCCCUUAGUAACGUAGCUACGCGUUGAAGUUGACCGCCUGGGGAGUCGGUCGCAAGAUUAAACUCAAAGGAAUUGACGGGGACCCGCACAAGCGGUGGAUGAUGUGGAUUAAUUCGAUGCAACGCGAAAACCUUACCUACCCUUAACCUUGGAGAGAUCUGAGGGUGCUCGAAAGAGAACCGAUACACAGGUGCUGCAUGGCUGUCGUCAGCUCGUGUCGUGAGAUGUUGGGUUAAGUCCCGCAACGAGCGCAACCCUUGUCCUUAGUUGCUACGCAAGAGCACUCUAGGGAGACUGCCGGUGACAAACCGGAG
rnacentral:rRNA from 1 species